AUUUAUAUAGUUUAACUAAAACCUUACAUUUUCAUUGUAAAAAUAAAAUAAUAAUUUUUAUAAAUA
rnacentral:tRNA from 1 species